rnacentral:lncRNA from 1 species
UUAUUUGUAAGUCUUCUCUCUUCUCAGAGAGAGAAUACUUCUUUGUAAGUUUUUUAGUUCGGUAGAUCUUUAAGAUAAUUUAAAUUUUUUAUAAAUAAUAUUUUGACGGGAAAAAAAAUAAAAUAAUGUAAUAAUAAACAUUUUUAAAUGAUACAAAUUUAGUUUACUAAAAUUUAAUUAUUGUCAACAUAUAUGAGUGAAUGUAGAUUAAUUCAUGAUAGUCCUUGGUUUAAGGUUUAGUAACAUAUGUUUAAUAUUGUUGGUAUUUUUAAGGUUAGAUUUUGAAUUUUUUUUUUUUAAUUUCACCUAUAGCUUAGUGACUAUCUAACAACUUGACUUAAACACUUUCUAAGUAUCUUAAAAGCUUAAGGAAGUGUUUUUUUGCUUAAUUAUUUCUUAUUUGAUUAUAGGAUCUGGAAGGCUCACAAAAAACUUCCCAAGAAGUCUUUUAACAUAUCCCGCCUAAAUUUUAGUAGAAUUUAGGGUUUCCGUCUAAAUUUCCGAAAAAAUAGGUUUUCCGCUUAAAUCGAAGUCUUCU